UGUCGUGCCCUCCCCUUUCCGCCGGAGGCGUCCGGUGUAGCGGCUUGGUGGCGCGCAGUUCCCGCUGACUGUGCGCGCCCCCGUCUUGGCUCCUUUGCAGAGGACUCGGUAGCUGCAGCUCCCGGAGCACAGCGGACAGAGCUGCGGGCUGCGCGCGCCACUGCUGCCCCGGGCCUGCCGCGGUGGCUCCCGCGCCCCGCGGCGACUUCCGCGCCCGCGCUUCCCUUUGUUCAAUUCCCCGAGCGGCGGUGGGGUCCGAGCCCGCGCCCUGGGCGACUGAGGCGGCCACAGUCCGCGCCCCGGCGCCGUGGCGAUGCCGGACCAGAUCUCUGUGUCGGAAUUCGUGGCCGAGACCCUUGAGGACUACAAGGCGCCCACGGCCUCUAGCUUCACCACGCGCACGGCCCAGUGCCGGGACACCGCGGCGGCCAUCGAGAAUUUAGAGUUUCGUGUUUUCAGCUCCGUAGGUCCAGCUGGACUCACAAAAGGUAGCUGGAGAACGAGACACACAUGUGUAGCAGUAGUGAACCGAUGACUACAUUUCCUUUGCUCAGAAUUUUAACAUCAAGGAUGCAGUGACUUAUGAUGAUGUGCAUGUGAACUUCACUGGGGAAGAGUGGAAUUUGCUGGAUCCUUCUCAGAAGAGUCUCUACAAAGAUGUAAUGCUGGAGACCUACUGGAACCUCACUGUUAUAGGCUACACUUGGGAAAACCAUCAUAUUGAAAGACAUUGUCAAAGUUCAAGAAGAAAUGAAAGGUUUCAGACGUUCAUCCUGAGAGGAAACAGUACAAGUAACAUUUGAUCUAAUACCAGAUCCUCGACUCUGGACCCAUAUUUUACGAUAAUUUUGGGGAUUAUGAUUACGUCAUUCCUACCUCCUGUGAUCAAUCAGUAAACACAUCUAAUGCCUGCAGCUGGCAAAAGAAAGGUUGAUGGCAUUUCAGUUCCCGGCCUUGGUGUCUUUGGAAGAGACCAUGAAGGAGAGGGAAGAAGAAGCAGGAAAAAGGUCCCAUGGAUGGAUGGAUUGGGGAGCAUGGCCAGGAGGGCAAGCCUGAGAGUAUGAGCAGCCUGGGCAGAAUAUGGCAAGUGAGCCGGGAGUGGUGGCACUCACCUUUAAUCCGAACACUUGAGAAGUAGAGGCAGGCGGAUUUCUGAGUUCUUGACCAGCUUUGUCUACAAUGUGAGUUCCAGGACAGCCAGGGCUAUACAGAGAAACCCUGUCUCAAAAAAAAAAAAAAAAAGAAAAAAGAAAAGAAUAUGGUGAGUGAUAUCUCACAGUUCUUAGUAAAGAAGUAGAGAAAUUAGCAUAGAGGAAAGGUAUGUGCCCCAUGAUGGUGCAUUACUGCUUAUAAUCAUUAUUAUUAUUAAUCAUAAUUAUCAUUUCUUAUUAUUUGAUAUUAUUUCACAUUAUUGUUUAAUAUAUUAUUACAUCAUAUUAAUAUUAUUUCUUAUUUUAUUAUUUCAUAUUAUUUCUUAUUAUUUCAUAUUAUUUAUUAUUACUGUUUUAUUAUUAGUUUAUUCUCUUUUAUUAUUAUUAUUAUUAUUUAAUACCUCUAUAAUUUAUGUGUUGGUAAGAAAUCCACAAGUAAUAUUUACCACAACAACUUGGCUGUAAAAACAGCUUGUGCCCAAUGACUGAAAUGCAAUUGAAAGGAAGAUGUGGUUUUGUACACUUGUAACCUCAGAACCCAACAGACAAAACAGAAACAUGGCCAACACUUAUUUUCUUGCGAUAAGAAACAUUUAUUUUCUUCAGAGGAAGAAAGUUCUCUGGGAUCUCUGCUAAUAAGGUCACACAAACACACACACACACACACACACACACACACACCUCCACACAAACAUGCACACAUACUACAUACAUACAUUCACACAUAUACACACACACACACCACAGAUAAACAUACAUGCACCACACAUACACCAAACACACACAUAAAUAUGCCCCCACAAAAACACCCACACACAAAUAUGCCACUUACAUACAUUCACACAUACACAUGCACACACACAACGUACAGCCACACAUACACACACCACACAUACCCCCACACAAACAGUCACAUACAUACCACAUACAUUCAUUCACAUAUAUACACAUACACCAUACAUACUUACAUUCACACACAUGCACACACACAUACAACCACAGCACAUGCACACACAUAACAUAUACAUACAUUCAUACGCAUACAUACAAACACACCACACACACCUCCCUUUUUGAUUCUGGUUCAUUUUGCUUAACAAUGAUUUCUAGUUCCUUCUGUUUCUGUGCAAGUAUCAUGAUUUCACUUUUCUUCCUGACUGCAUGAAAUCAUGUCAUUUGUACUCUGUGAUCAAUUUGGUUAACAAGGGUUAAUGCAUAAGUAGGGCCUGGGCUGAGGAAUUUGCAUUGUGGGUGUUCCACAUAGCCAAGAGUGACAAGGCAUGUCCCAGAGUCUCUUCUCCCUCAGUGAGCCCCUUGGAGCAUGGCUCUUGGCCAAGGUUGUGGGGAAGGCAGGAUGAGGAAAUCAGUAGCUGACAUUGUUUGUGUACCUACUUGCCUGGUGAUUUCUGCUGCAACCACCAGGUUGUGUGUCUGAUGACCUUCCAGAGGUUCCACCAUCUGCCUGCACUUUGACCCCAUGAGUGUGAAAACAGAACUCCUGGAAGCUAUUGAAUCUGGGGGCUUUGAAACACUUUGAGAAAAUAUGGACAAGGUGGAGCACGGGGUAUCCGAGGUCAGUGAAGCUGGUCUGUAUACAUUGUAGAGGACAUGGAUCUGUGAACCCACAACAUGCAGCUCAAAGCAUGAAUGCUGUGUAGGCUGUAGACUGAGUGAGGGCAAUGAUUGUCCAUGCUACAGAUGCCCCAUUCUGGUGGAGGGUGUUGACCAGAUGAGCCCAGGGAAUGUCUCUAUGCCUGUCUCUCAAUGUUUCUAUGAAUCUAAAACUGCCCUAAAAUAAAGUCAGUUAAAAAUACAUAUGGGACCCAAGGAGCUAAAGGGGUUUGCAGCCCAAUAGGAGAAACAAUAUGAACCAACCAGUACCCCCAGAGCUCCCUGAGACUAAACCACCAACAAAAAAGAAUCCCAUGGCUCCAGCUGCAUAUGUAGCAGAGGAUGGCCUAGUCAGUCAUCAAUGGGAAGAGAGGCCCUUGGUCCUGUGAUGGUGCUAUGCCCAAGUAUAGGGGAAUACCUGGGCCAGGAAGCAAGAGUAUGUGGGUUGGGGAGCAUAGGAAGGGGGGCAAGUUAUAGGUGAUUUUCAAAGGGGAAACAGGAAAGGGGAUAUUUGAAAUGUAAAAUAAUAAAAAUAUCUAAUAAAAAUAUACAUAUGUGGACUGGUGGGGUGGCUCCAUGCUUAAGAGUUCUUACUGUUCUUUGAGCAGAAUCUAGUUCAUUUCCUCCCGUGUUGAGAGGCUCACAAUCACUGGUAACUCCAGCUCUUGGUGAUCGGGUGCCCUCGUCUGGCCUCCAUGGGCACCUGCACUAACAUGCAUAUUCCCACCCUAAUGUGCACAUAUCUGUUAGGGAAGUGCAUGGCUUUUCUAGUCCAGAUCUUGGAUUUUUGGUCUGAGUCUAAAUUCAGGGGUAGUCCUUUGCAAAGCACUGAGUAUUGAGUGCCUGCUUUGUUUAUAGCUCCUGGUUAGGCACUAAUGCAAGGUAAUGAAUGAAGUGAUGCCCUCUUGACUUCAUGGUGUCCAGUCAACCUGGCUGGGUGGGAGAAGGGCAGACACACAGUCCUCACCCCUACCCCCAGUCUGCAGAGCAAGGGAAGUCCUAGGUCCUCCUGCUCUUUAGAACACACUCUGGGACAAACCAGUGCUUGGUUCAGGAAGAACAUUGCAAGUAUGAUCAUUGCUGUGAAUGGAGAGACUGCACCAUAAGGGGAAACAGAGACAGUGCUGUAGCCUAGGAAGAGAAGUUGUGCUCGGGUGACAGGACUUUCCUGUCCCAUUCUGACUGCCACUUAGCUCUUGAGUCAAUUACUAGCCUCCCUGUGAGCCCCAUCUUCCCUCUCAAGGAAAUGGAGGUAACACUGGGCCUCCCUCCUUGUUCUGUCCUGAGGAUCUCAGGGGACAAUGACAGCUUUGAGUGAGGUACAAGACUAUUUAGGAACAGUCCCAUAAUACUGUUCACUGGGAAGAGGCCUCCAGUCCCCAUGUUGGGUACAGACAGGGAGGAAAGAGAUGGCCUUCUGAGCUGGCUCUACAAGGGUGGCUAAGUUAUAUUCAUGAUGCUGAAUGUGUGUAUCUUUGACCAGAUUGGUGAUGGUAGUGUGCUGUCUGAGUUGGGAUAUAUUUUUACUCCAUGUGAACAUCUUCUUUGUGCCAUUUUCUGAGCCAGCGAAGCACGUCUGGGCAAUAUGGGCUUUGAGGAAAAGGCCUGGCUUGGGUUACUCCCAAUAAGGUCCAGAGCAGAACCUUGGGUGCUCCUUUGAGCCUUCCCAAGCCAAGCCAGGAUAUUCCAUCAAGCAUCCUAAUGACCAGAAAAGAAAAAGGUCUAGGAGCCACAUACAGCUGCAUCUGGAUAGCCCAGUCACCUGAAUCCAUAGAGCAAUGGCCAUGACCAUCACCCACAUUGGCUUUGUGACAGUGUUAUUCCAGCUGAGGGUCGCCAGUAUCUCACCAGGCUUCUGUCAAUGGGGGAUCAUAGGAAUUACACACACACACACACACACAGAACAUGCAUACACAAAUGCACACAUAGUACACACGUGCAUACUCACGUAAACACGCACACAAUCAGCUUUACUUGGGUACUUGGGGUAAGUGAAGGGAUAUUGUGAGCUCAUCCAGGUGCCAGUGCCCUAUGUGAUCUGUGGUCUUCUUUUCCACGGGCAUGGUCUAGCAGCUUGUCCAGCCUGUGCAUCAUCCCCCAUUGGUUCUGAUCACUGCUUUGCCUUGUCCUCCACUUGGUCCUAGAUAAGUCACCCCAAGGCCAAUAGGCCUGCAGAGCAUUAGGGCUGUGGAUGAAAGGGGUACCAUUUGCAGAGACUGUGGGGACAGUCUCUUCAGGGAUCUCAGAGGACAGGUCAUGAAACGGAGGCUGAGAGGUAAGAAGAACCCUGUAAGUACCAGGAUGAGCCAGGCCUACUUAACCAUGAGGCCAGCAUCACCACCAUUGUUCAGAGUUUGUGCAUGUGUCAUGGUUCUUUCUAAUCCCAAUGGCUGCUACCUCAAGAGGUCUGCAAGAUGCAGAGGCAAAUGUCAAGUGGUAUGUCUGUCCCUGGCUCUAGUAAAGGCAGCUAGUUCCCUAGAGACUUAGACCAGCAGUUCCCAGCAGACCUGGGAGUGGAUGGGUCUCCCUCACCCCUAUCCCCAGCCCCAGACACCCAAGCUCCUAUAGCAUUCAUAGAGGGAAUUUCUCGGCACAGGGUGUCCUCAGGACUUCCUGUGGGUGGAGUUCCUUUCUGGCCUUCACCUUCUGGAGGGAGAGGAUAUCUCCUGUUGCCUUUUUCUUCACUCCCCCAAAUUCCAUAGACACUGUCCAGGUUGUCAGUGAGUCUGAAGGAGAUACCCAGAAAGAGGCCCUUGUCUUCAGAAAGAGGGUCUAUGGGUCCCCUCAAUCGAAAAUAAACACAAUGGAAUAUGGUGUGCACUGCUGGGGCUAAAGAGAGCAGUUCCUGAGUCUAUAUGACUGAAUGUCACCUGCAUACAUGCCUCCAGGCCCCAGGGUCCUCGACUCCAGAUGCCAUCAAUGCACAAGUUUAUGGUAGGGUCCAGUCAAGCCUGGAAACUGAUGUCUGGAAGCUGGAGCAGACAAAGAGGUCAGAGGAGUACAAGUUGUAGUCUAUAGUGUCUCUUCUCAUCCUGAGGCCCUUGGAUGCUUUGCUGUACACCCAGUGACUCCUCUGUAACCAAACACACCUUACCACUGAAUGAGGAGAGUCUGGGUCAGACAGUUCUUCCUUAUCUGAGGUCAGCACUUUGCCAUGGUGUCAGAGGUCAGAGGAUUCUCAGUAGAAAGAUCCCUCUGAAGAUGGGCACCUCCUCCAUUCCCACCCACCUACCUGUGGAUGAAAGUGUGUACAAGUCUGGGGCACAGCCUUGCUGCUAGCUCUCCACCUUGGCAGGCAGUAUGGCUGUGCUCAGCAUGUAUUAAGAAUAUGCUCUGUCCCCAGUGAUCUUGAGGGCUCUGGCUUCUAAUGGCAAAGAAAAGCAAAGUAAAGCCUGGGCCUUGAACUCAUUAUAAUAUUGGGAAAAGUAAAGCUGGAGAGAGGUUAGGCUUAGAAGGUUGUGUGUAGAGGCUUCCCUUUUCAACCAAGUAUUCCAGGAAGGCUAAGAGAUGUGAGCUCAGAGAGAUCCUGAAGAAGGUGUGGGAGCAAAGGCCCAGUGGCAGCCAUCAGGAUGGAUACAGAAGCAGUAGAGAUAUUCGUGGCCAGAGAGGAUGGGAUGAUGGUUCAGGCUGAUGGGGGUGUAGUGAAUCUCUGCAGCUCAGAGCUCAAUGUGUACUGAGUGACAGCUCUGCAGUAGUAGAUAAUGACCUGUUCCCUCCCUCCCUAAUUUCCCCACAUGUUCAUGCUCUCUUUGUGUCAUUGUGACUCACCUCUGAGCAGAGUGAGGCUUCCUCUGAGCAUCAUUCUUUCCUGUCCACCAGUCAGCAUCUUCUCCAUCUGCUCAAGUUUAAGGUCAUUCCCUCAGCACAUCUUCAGGCCAAGUCCAUGCAUACUUGGUAAAGGUGGCUGGAUGAAUGAAUGAGCAAAGCACUUGUUUUCCUGUGUGUAAGAAUAGCGAGCUCCCAGGGGGGAUAUCUUCCGGAGUCCUAUGUGUGCUCUGAGGAGUCCUCCUCCUAACAGCUCUUUCUCCUGGGCUAUCACUGGAGCCAGGAGGGGUGGGAGCCUCUGUAGUCAGUGAGAUAACACAUCUCUGUGUUGGUGAAGGGAUGUUCGGCUGUGUGUGUGUGUGUCUGUAAACUUUACAAUGCGUAUGAUAUGAAGUGUGAGCCACUGCCUGAGGGUCCCUAACCCUCACACUCUAAUUCCCAAGCAGUAGGCAUGGACUUCCCAGGAUACCUGCUGCCAUGACAGAAGGGGCCUUCCUCCUCCUGAAACCUCACCCCUGUGUCUAGCAAUCUCUUGGUGCUUGGGCCCCUGUACUAGACCUGCCCCUCAGCAACAGGAGCCUCUGCGGUCCCUGCCCUGAUGUUUGCCUGGCUACAUCCUUCCUUCCCUCCCCUCAUUUCCUCUUUGAAGUACAGGAGUUAGGAUGUCACUGGACCUACCCAGGGAUGCUUCCUGAUCACAGUGACCCCAGGCUCUUUACCAGCACAGAACAUGUUUUUUAACAUGCACAGCACUAGGUGUGACCUGCAAGAGAAGCUUUUCAGGUCGAUGGCUUCCCUCCUCACAGGGUGCUGUACUCAGAUGGAGCUCAUUGAGGAAGCCUGUGGUCUUUCACAGUGAAAGUCCUCCAAUUUCCCCACCGAGCAUUUGCCUGGUGGUUCAGUUUCUCUGUCUCCUCAUAGCUUCUGUUUCCCUUCCUUUCAUAGAAAUAGGCUGUAAACUCCACACACAGGGACCUUCACUCUUGGUUUACAGCUAAGGAUACAGGACACAGAGAAAUCAAGGUAGCAAGAACAUAUGGCUAGAAGGGAAGGCUGUAGCAGGGAUUGACCCAGGGACUACCAAAUCUGCUUGUCCCAUUACAUUCUGACACAGUGAACUGCAGUUUCUUUUAGAGAGGGACACACAUAGGCUCAGUCAGGGGCAAUGAGAGAUAUUCUACCCUGUUCUAUGCUAGGCCUGCCUCAGGACCCUUGGGUUACUGCUGGACCCUCCCAGGCCUGUUGAGUGCUGGCCCCUGGCCAGGGCAACCUCUGUCAUUGACCAUGCAGAACAAGUCUUAGAGGCCCCGUGCCAUUCCCCUGGCUACUGGGGAAAGGCCAUUGCUGACUUCUUGGCCUGCAGCAUCAGAACAGAGUUGAUAUGACCUGUCAUCCCAGCCAAUCAGGAGCCCAUGUGUGAGUCAUUCCAUAGCUGGCUCAGGGACCCCAAAGAACCUGCUGCAUCAAGCCUGGGACAAUGUGCCAACCUGAGCCUGAGUGCUGAGCAACAAGGCAGAGAAGCCUAUUCUGACUCCAUCCCACCAGGACUGAGUGCACAGGACGUCCAUCUGUAGAGGGACUGGGGGAACGAAUUGGAGGCCUCUGCCCUCUCCUGCUUGCAGCAAUGUCUUUCAUAGCCUUCAAAAGAGCACUUAAGGUGUGCUGUGCUCCAGUAAUUUCAGCAGACUGAGGAUUGUCUUGAGUUUAAGGCUGUCCUGGGCUGUAUAGAAAGACUAUCUUAGCCAAAUGGUGGUGAGGUCUCCUUUAAUCCCAGUACUCAUGAGGCAGAGGUGGAUGGAUCUGUGUUAGUUCCAAGCCAGCCUGGUCUACAGAGGGAGUUUCAGGACAGCCAGGGCUACACAGAGAAAAGACUGUGUCACAAGAAAAUGGGAGGGGGAGGGAGAGGAGGGAGGAUAGGCUGGAGUUGGCUACGACUGUUGGUAGAAUGCUUGCCUAAGAUUCACCGAAGUCUAAAGUCUAUCCCUAAGUGCACCACAAAAUGCAUGUGGUGGUGCAUGGCUCUAACCCCAGCCCUUGGGAAAUCGAGGCAGGAGGAUCAGGAGUUCAAGGUCAUCGUCCUUUACAUAAUGAGUUCAGUGUCCAGCCUGGGAUACUUGAGACCCUGUCUCAAAACUACAGGGUGUGGACUCAGCCCACAGGAAGAAGACUGUUUGUAUAACACAGGUGUCUGUCCCUCUGGCUCGGCCUUGAGCUUCUACUGUGCAGUUGAGCAUUGAUUGUAUCCUGAUAUUUUAACUUGCUAAUUCCCUAAGGUUUCUAUAUAGCUGGAAAUUAGGUGAGGAACGUGAGGGCCUGGAUCUGCCCUGCCUUUCAUGUCUUUACAGCUAUCCCCAUUGCCAGUUCCUAGUCUGCUUGGGUUGGUCAUCUUGGUUGUGCUCCAUGUUAGCUGGCCGACCUCUGUCCCUGUGGGGAUACUAUCACUUCCUCAUUGGGCAGCUGUUGUGUGCUGCAGGGCAGUGAGUUCUCCUUAGCUCUGGCCCUGGCACACACCCACACAUUGCUUUUUGCUUUCCCCUCCUCCACCGCUGGGAACUAGCUGCCCAGACAUCCUACUGGUCCCAUAGAGAAGCAGAGGCCUGUAAAAGGUCUGGUCUGGUGAUGAGCAUCUUUGAUGAUAAUGACCUCAUGGGAGGGAACAAGAAGCCUUACUUGGGACCCCAUAGCUAGAUUGCUGUCCAAAAGGAGGGACAUCAGCAUCUGGCAAGUGGACAGCCCCUAGUGUGACACAUUCCUGAGUGUGUAUUCUACUGUCACUAUUGUGCCAGAAUGGAGAUUUCUAGAAGACACCCACAUCCCUCACAUUCCUUCCUGAGUCCCUAACCCUGGAGGUCACAAAGUGUUUGAGCUUUCAGGAUGGGAAGAGUCUCUCGGGCCUCAUGGAGAGCUUCUGAAUUGUCAUGCAGCCCUGACUCACAGUUAUAAACAGUGUGUGUAUCCUCCCCUGUUUUGGGGCACUGUGGGGGUUCACAGUGGCAAUCUAUUAAGUACAGAAAUGUAGGACCCUGCAGUCUGAGAGGUGGAGUGCUCCCUGUGUGUAAGCAUAAGGACCUUGGUUUAGAUCCCCAGCACCCUUGUAAAUCCCCACAUAUAUCCUUGUUUGCUGUGACCUUGCCACUGUGGGAUAGAGACAAAGGGAACCAAUUCUAGGGUCAUUCUGUCCGGCUAGUCUAGACAAAAUGGUGAAUAGUACUCUCUGGGUCCAGAGAGAGGCCUGACUCAAAAACAGUGGCAGGACUCUGAGGCCUGUAGACCUGGCUCUGUGCUUACAAACAACUACUACUGUUUCAGAGGACCUGAAUUCAGUUCACAGCACCCACAUCUGGCUCUGUGAGCCACCAGUAACUUCAGUUCUAGAGCCCUGACUUUUUCCCGCCUCUCUAAGCAUACACACACACAGACAUACAUGUGCAUAGAAUUUUGAAAGUCUUUUUUAAAACGAAAAAGCUAGCUGGGCAGUGACAGCACAAAACUUCAAUCACAGCAUUCGUGAAGCAGAGGGAGGUGGGUCUCUGUGAGUUUGAGGCCAGCCUGGUCUACAGAGUGAGUUCCAGGAUAGCCAGGGCUACACAGAGAGACCCUGUCUUGGGAGAAGUGCAGAAUAAAGAAAAGCAAAAAGAAGGAAAAAACAUUCUCAUGUUGACCUCUAUAUCCUGCAUGGGAAAGCAUGUGUGUGUGUAUGUGUAUAAGGGUGCAUGUGUGUGUGCAUGAGGGUGCGUGUGUGUGCAUGAGGGUGUG